AUGACGAGACUUGUUCAGGCGGGUGUACAGUGUAUCACUCCAGACUACAGAGGAAGACAGGAGAGUUGAGUUGAUGAUACGUGUGUUGUUGAGACUCAUGUACCUAAAGGGGAAACAGUGAUCUGGUGUGACACGUGGUCGGCAGCCAUUUUGACAGUACAGUACAGUUUCUAAGGUACACAUUUCUCCACUGUAGAAGACAGUACAGUACAGUUUCUAAGGUACACAUUUCUCCACUGUAGAAGACAGUACAGUACAGUUUCUAAGGUACACAUUUCUCCACUGUAGAAGACAGUACAGUACAGUUUCUAAGGUACACAUUUCUCCACUGUAGAAGACAGUACAGUACAGUUUCUAAGGUACACAUUUCUCCACUGUAGAAGACAGUACAGUACAGUUUCUAAGGUACACAUUUCUCCACUGUAGAAGACAGUACAGUACAGUUUCUAAGGUACACAUUUCUCCACUGUAGAAGACAGUACAGUACAGUUUCUAAGGUACACAUUUCUCCACUGUAGAAGACAGUACAGUACAGUUUCUAAGGUACACAUUUCUCCACUGUAGAAGACAGUACAGUACAGUUUCUAAGGUACACAUUUCUCCACUGUAGAAGACAGUACAGUACAGUUUCUAAGGUACACAUUUCUCCACUGUAGAAGACAGUACAGUACAGUUUCUAAGGUACACAUUUCUCCACUGUAGAAGACAGUACAGUACAGUUUCUAAGGUACACAUUUCUCCACUGUAGAAGACAGUACAGUACAGUUUCUAAGGUACACAUUUCUCCACUGUAGAAGACAGUACAGUACAGUUUCUAAGGUACACAUUUCUCCACUGUAGAAGACAGUACAGUACAGUUUCUAAGGUACACAUUUCUCCACUGUAGAAGACAGUACAGUACAGUUUCUAAGGUACACAUUUCUCCACUGUAGAAGACAGUACAGUACAGUUUCUAAGGUACACAUUUCUCCACUGUAGAAGACAGUACAGUACAGUUUCUAAGGUACACAUUUCUCCACUGUAGAAGACAGUACAGUACAGUUUCUAAGGUACACAUUUCUC